GACCCCACAGUUUAAAUGUCUAUCGUAGACUGUACGUCGUGAACAGUGGUCUUUACAUACAAACGUUCACGUAAAUUGUCCCAGUCAAUGGAUGAAUUUAAUGUGUCAAUCAAUGGCCACAGCCACACUGUUUUGAAUUUCAUUCUAUUUUCGAUUUUGUUAAAUUCAGGACACGGCAGAAAGAGCUUUACAUGUGACUUUCAAGCACGGUCAUCAUUACUAACGGUAUACUGAACCCGAGUUGUUUCUCUUUUAAUUCUUUUUGGAGUCACUGUCCUAUUAUAAACUUUGACCUUUUCGAAAAGCUAAGGAUU
rnacentral:lncRNA from 1 species